rnacentral:rRNA from 1 species
ACUGUCAACUCUUACAAGCUGGGGUGGGUCGGUACUUGGAUGGGAGACCUCCAAGGAACACCAUUAGUCAGCAGUA